AGCAGCCGCGGUAAUUCCAGCUCCAAUAGCGUAUAUUAAAGUUGUUGCAGUUAAAAAGCUCGUAGUUGAAUUUUGGAUCUGACCAAAUGGUCCGCUUUUGGUGAGUACUGUUUUGUGUCGGGUCUAUCCUUCUGGUGAGCUGGUAUGCCCUUUAUUGGGUGUGUCAGGGAACCAGGACCAUUACCUUGAAAAAUUAGAGUGUUUAAAGCGGGCAUAAGCUUGAAUAGAUUAGCAUGGAAUAAUAGAAUAGGACGUUGUGGUUCUAUUUUGUUGGUUUCUAGGACCACCGUAAUGAUUAAUAGGGAUAGUUGGGGCAUUAGUAUUCAAUUGUCAGAGGUGAAAUUCUUGGAUUUAUUGAAGACUAACUAUUGCGAAAAGCAUUUGCCAAGGAUGUUUUCAUUAAUCAAGAACGAAAGUUAGGGGAUCGAAGACGAUCAGAUACCGUCGUAG
rnacentral:rRNA from 1 species